rnacentral:rRNA from 1 species
GACGAACGCUGGCGGCGUGCUUAACACAUGCAAGUCGAACGGAAAGGCCCUGCUUUUGUGGGGUGCUCGAGUGGCGAACGGGUGAGUAACACGUGAGUAACCUGCCCUUGACUUUGGGAUAACUUCAGGAAACUGGGGCUAAUACCGGAUAGGAGAUCCUGCUGCAUGGUGGGGGUUGGAAAGUUUCGGCUGUUUGGGAUGGACUAGCGGCUUACCAGCUUGUUGGUGGGGUAGUGGUUUACCAAGGCUUUGACGGGUAGCCGGCCUGGGAGGGUGACCGGGCACAAUGGGCCUGAGGGAGGCCGCAGUCUGCAACGGGAGGCAACAGGGGGAAACAUGGCACAGCGGGCGGGAGCCUGAGGCGGCGGCGCCGCGUGCGGAAUGCCGGCCUUCGGGUUGUAAACCGCUGUCGGCUGAGACGAGGCGUGAGUGACGGUAACGGGUAAAGAAGCACCGGCUAACUACGUG